UGGACUGGGCAAAAUCCACCAUUCCCUGCAACCUCUUGAGUUCCUGUGCGUUGGAAUUGCCGUACCAGGC